rnacentral:misc_RNA from 1 species
AAGUCGUAACAAGGUCUCCGUAGGUGAACCUGCGGAGGGAUCAUUACAGAGAACAUCGCCCUCACGGGUGACUCUCCAACCCUAUGUUAUUAUAACCUUUGUUGCUUUGGCGAGCCGCCUCGGCCACCGGCUCUUGCUGGUGAGUGCUCGCCAGAGGACCCAAAAUUCUGAAUAUUAAUGUCGUCUGAGUACUAUAUAAUGGUUAAAA